CCUACGGGUGGCAGCAGUGAGGAAUAUUGGUCAAUGGGCGCGAGCCUGAACCAGCCAAGUAGCGUGAAGGAUGACUGCCCUACGGGUUGUAAACUUCUUUUAUAAAGGAAUAAAGUGAGGCACGUGUGCCUUUUUGUAUGUACUUUAUGAAUAAGGAUCGGCUAACUCCGUGCCAGCAGCCGCGGUAAUACGGAGGAUCCGAGCGUUAUCCGGAUUUAGUGGGGUUAAAGGGCGCGUAGAGGGGUUGUUAAGUCAGUUGUGAAAGUUUGCGGCUCACCCGGAAAAUUGCAAUUGCUACUGGCAGUCUUGCGUACAGUUGCGGUAGGCGGAAUUCGUGGUGUAGCGG
rnacentral:rRNA from 1 species